CCUUUUUCAAGGAGAGAAUUUAAUUUCUUGAGCACUACUUGGUCUUAGCACCUUACCACAUUCUCUUACGACAGCUACACUAAUUAGAUGCUGUUAUUCUCUCCGUUUUGCAGAUGAAAAAACUGCAAGUAGCCUCCUUGGGUACUCAGGGUAAUGCUGCUAAAAAUGGUAGAGUCAGGACUCAAACCCAGGCAGUUAAACUCCAGAACCUGUGCUCCCACCUACCGAGGAGUGCAUGCGUGACCCAGAAGAGACCAGUCACAACUGCUCAUAUCCAGCCACAGGGGUGAGUCCAAGGACAGACACAAGGCAUGGCAGAGUCCUUCCCUGAGACUGUGCUUCUCCAUGAGUCUGACGUGUUAUCUUCUGGCCUCCUCUGUUGCUGCUUCAUAGCUUCGAAUCUGCUUUCCCUGUUCCUUGGAUUCUGCGUUCAAUCUUCCCAUCACCACAAGUUGCAUCUUCUCCCAAAGAGGCAGGGGUCUGUAAGGGUGCAAGUCCAGAUCUCUGGUCACCAAGGAAGCAGCUUUUCAAGGAUGUGCAGACCAAGGGAAGAGGCAGGAGUGGCUGCCUAAGAAAGAAUGCCCUCGAGCCACUGUCCCCAGGGCCAGUUGCACCCAUAUUCUUCAUUUGCAGUUUAGGAUUUUCUCCCCUUUUUGGCAUAAGUUAACUUGAAUAGAGUUAGUUACUUGCGAGUGAAAGAACUUUAAUACAGAAAUGAUUCCAGGAUUUAGGUUGGAAGACCCAUUAGUGAGGCAGCGUUUGCAAGUGACAAUUAGCUUAAGCAUAAAAAAUAAAGGAUUGGCUUGAGGAACAAAAAUGUAUUUUACGUUCCCCUGGAUUUGAGCACUCAAAUGAUAUCUUUGGGAUCCCACGGAAGGCAUUCAGAAAAUGCCAGCGCCAAAUAUGCCACUGUCAUGUGCUGAUGACUUUGAAGCGAGGGCACUUAGGGAACAGUGAUGCCGGCAGACACUUUCUCUGAGCCCCUUAUCUGCCUGAAGACCGAUCCUCCAAAAGGAGCUCAAUUGUCAUGAAUCCCCUCCUGCGAAUCUUCUCAACUGGGGAAGAUUAACUCGUUUCGCAGGAAAGAAGAGGAGAGGUUGGCACCAGCCCAGGCAGAUUGUUACCUCUGUUCUUGAGACAAUAUUUGUUACUGGAGAGACUUGUAUCUACACAACAAGACAGCCUUUAUUCAGCACACAUUUCUUCCCCUCACGCUCCCAUAACCUGUAUCUCCACCACCCCCAGAAGCCCUAAGCCCCUAUUCCUUUCUGUAGCUCAGGGUACUGCAUAAGCUUCAAUCACCUGGCCCUGCUUCAAGGUUUAUUCUUCAGGACUCCCGUGCAUGUAUACAUAAUUAAAUGUCGCUUUUCUCCUGUUA